GAUGAACGCUGGCGGCGUGCCUAAUACAUGCAAGUCGAGCGAACAGACGAGGAGCUUGCUUCUCUGAUGUUAGCGGCGGACGGGUGAGUAACACGUGGAUAACCUACCUAUAAGACUGGGAUAACUUCGGGAAACCGGAGCUAAUACCGGAUAAUAUAUUGAACCGCAUGGUUCAAAAGUGAAAGACGGUCUUGCUGUCACUUAUAGAUGGAUCCGCGCCGCAUUAGCUAGUUGGUAAGGUAACGGCUUACCAAGGCAACGAUGCAUAGCCGACCUGAGAGGGUGAUCGGCCACACUGGAACUGAGACACGGUCCAGACUCCUACGGGAGGCAGCAGUAGGGAAUCUUCCGCAAUGGGCGAAAGCCUGACGGAGCAACGCCGCGUGAGUGAUGAAGGUCUUCGGAUCGUAAAACUCUGUUAUUAGGGAAGAACAAAUGUGUAAGUAACUAUGCACGUCUUGACGGUACCUAAUCAGAAAGCCACGGCUAACUACGUG
rnacentral:rRNA from 1 species